ensembl:lncRNA
CUCAUACUUUACAGUUAUAUACUUUACAGUGAACACUCACACUAUACAGGUAACACUCACACUUUACAAUUAUACACUUUACAGUGAACACUCACACUAUACAGGUAACACUCACACUUUACAAUUAUACACUUUACAGUUAACACUCAAACUUUACAAUUAUACACUUUACAGUUAACACUCACACUUUACAGUUCAAACUUUACAGUUAUACACUUUACAGUUAACAUUCACACUUUACAGUAACACUCAUACUUUACAGUUAUACACUUUACAGUGAACACUCACACUAUACAGUUAACACUCACACUUUACAAUUAUACACUUUACAGUUAACACUCAAACUUUACAAUUAUACACUUUACAGUUAACACUCACACUUUACAGUUCAAACUUUACAGUUAUACACUAUACAGUUACCCUCACACUUUACAGUUAACAUUCACACUGUACAGUUAUACACUUUACAGUUCACACUCACACUUUACAGUUCACACUCAUAGUUAACACUCAAACAUCAAAACAUCAAUAUACACACUUAGUGCCACAUUAUAUUUGGCUCUGUUGUAUCAAAGGCCCUAUAGUUUCCUAAUGUCCCUGGGCCUAUACGGCUGUAUAUGGGGCUACAUAUAGGGGCUAUACCCCAAACUGGAAAUGAUCACAUCUGGAAUGCUAUAGGUUCACUCUCUGCCUUAAAUGAGUCAGCUGGGAUCUGAAAACAGAGACAGAACGUUCCUCAUCUGUCUGAACUCUUAACCAUCUCAGAGACAAGACGUUUCUCAUCUGUCUGAACUCUUAACCAUCUCAGAGACAAGACGUUUCUCAUGUGUCUGAACUCUUAAACCAUCUCAGAGACAAGACGUUCCUCAUCUGUCUGAACUCUUAAACCAUCUCAGAGACAAGACGUUUCUCAUCUGUCUGAACUCUUAACCAUCUCAGAGACAAGACGUUUCUCAUCUGUCUGAACUCUUAACCAUCUCAGAGACAAGACGUUCCUCAUCUGUCUGAACUCUUAACCAUCUCAGAGACAAGACGUUUCUCAUCUGUCUGAACUCUUAACCAUCUCAGAGACGAGACGUUCCUCAUCUGUCUGAACUCUUAACCAUCUCAGAGACAAGACGUUUCUCAUCUGUCUGAACCCUUAACCAUCUCAGAGACAAGACAUUUCUCAUCUGUCUGAACCCUUAACCAUCUCAGAGACAAGAUGUUUCUCAUCUGUCUGAACUCUUAACCAUCUCAGAGACAAGACGUUUCUCAUCUGUCUGAACUCUUAACCAUCUCAGAGACAAGACGUUUCUCAUCUGUCUGAACUUUUAACCAUCUCAGAGACAAGACGUUUCUCAUCUGUCUGAACUCUUAACCAUCUCAGAGACAAGACGUUUCUCAUCUGUCUGAACUCUUAACCAUCUCAGAGACAAGGCGUUUCUCAUCUGUCUGAACUCUUUACCCUCUCAGAGACAAAGGCUGGGGAUCCCUGAUUAGAGGGGAAUCACCCAUGUGCUGUCCCAGGUUUAAAUCAAGCCCUGAUUAGAGAGGAAUCACCCACGUGCUGUUCCAGGUCUAAAUCAGGCCCUGAUUAUAGGGGAAUCGCCCACGUGUUGUCCCAGGUCUAAAUCAGGCCCUGAUUAUAGGGGAAUCGCCCACGUGUUGUCCCAGGUCUAAAUCAGGCCCUGAUUAUAGAGGAAUCGCCCACGUGUUGUCCCAGGUCUAAAUCAGGCCCUGAUUAUAGGGGAAUCGCCCACGUGUUGUCCCAGGUCUAAAUCAGGCCCUGAUUAUAGAGGAAUCGCCCACCUGCUGUCCCAGGUCUAAAUCAGGCCCUGAUUAUAGGGGAAUCGCCCACGUGUUGUCCCAGGUCUAAAUCAGGCCCUGAUUAUAGGGGAAUCGCCGACGUGUUGUCCCAGGUCUAAAUCAGGCCCUGAUUAUAGAGGAAUCGCCCACCUGCUGUCCCAGGUCUAAAUCAGGCCCUGAUUAUAGGGGAAUCGCCCACGUGUUGUCCCAGGUCUAAAUCAGGCCCUGAUUAGAGGGGAAUCGCCCACGUGUGGUCCCAGGUGUAAAUCAGGCCCUGAUUAUAGGGGAACAAUGAUAAAAGCAGCAGAACAGUCUUCCCAGGGCCAGAGUUGAAUUUGAGGAUUACAGGGAAAAGGAUGCCAUUUCAAACACACCCAUAAUGUUUCUAAACCAUCUCUUCCUCUGGCUGCUAAACUGGGGAGUCCAACAGCGUCUAACUGAGUCACACUAACUGGCUAUAAGGAUUAUUAUAAUAACUGGCUAGAACCAUGGAACCAGAGGUUAGAACUGGCUAGAACCAUGGAACCAUAGUUGAGAACUGGCUAAAACCAUGGAACCAUAGUUGAGAACUGGUUAGAACUGGCCAGAACCAUGGAACCAUAGUUGAGAACUGGUUAGAACUGGCUAGAACCAUGGAACCAUAGUUGAGAACUGGUUAGAACUGGCUAGAACCAUGGAACCAUAGUUGAGAACUGGCUAGAACCAUGGAACCAUAGUUGAGAACUGGUUAGAACUGGCUAGAACCAGGGAACCAUAGUUGAGAACUGGUUAGAACUGGCUAGAACCAUAGUUUAGAACUGGUUAAAACCAUAGAACCAUGCCUGUCUGUCUGUCUGGCCUAGAUUCUAAUACGCUACAGGAAUCUCUAUGCACCCUGACUAGAACACACAGCUGUGAUGCGAUUCGGAGGUUGACAUUAAUAAGGAUUCUAGAGAAAACGUGAUGAUCUGAACCAUGUGUGUCUGUGAUGUAAUUACACGUCUUUGUGAUGACGAAGAGCACAACUCUUUAUUGAUGAAACACUCGCCUGUCUGAACCUCUGCGUAGUCUAAUAUCGGGGCGCUGCUAUUGGCCCGUGAGCACAAAGGGGGAAAUCCGAUUGGUUGUGGCGGUGCUUUGCUUGGUUUUCUAUGUAACUCUGUUUCUUGGCAAAUUUAAUGAAACUGUUUUUUUUCUUCUUUUCAUAAUGUGGCAUUUGUAUUUCAACUUAAAGCCCAAUAAAACUUCACAGUGUAAAAAGUUCCCUGAGAAACUCCUGUAUUUU